UGGGUUUGACAUCCUUUGACCGUCUCGGAAACGAGAUUUUUCCGACUCUGUUGGAACAGAGUGAC
rnacentral:rRNA from 1 species